rnacentral:tRNA from 2 species
GAUAAGAUGGCUGAAUUUUAGGUUGUAAAUUGUAAAUUUAUUUAUGAGUAAUACUCUCUUGUCA